AGGGGGGAGAGGGGAACGACGAGUGGGUCCCGCAUAUACCAGGCGCCGCUCCCCCCAAAUCGAGGGCAAUCCUCGCGUUUGUUCCCCAAAAUCCCUAGCGAGUCUCUCUGCUUCAUCCUGCAUCCAGCGCAAUGGAACGGAAAGAGGUCAUGGACCUCGGCAGCGGCGAGCCCAAGGAGAUCAUGGACCUCAUCAGCGGCAAGCCGAUGGAGACCAUAGGCCUCGGCAGCGGCAAGGUCGAGGACUAUCCCUCCGUGAGGCGGCUCCGCAACCGGCGGCUCCUCCUCUACCUCCGGCUCCAGGGCUUCGACACUGCCUACGAUAGCGUUGUGCGCGAGUCGGGUGUGCAGAUGAGCAAGCUACAUCUGCGGCAGCUGCUGAUCUGGGGCCGGUGGAGCGAAGCCCUCAACUACAUCAGGCGCUUCCUGCCGCCGGCGUCCAAAGACCGUGGCCGCGAGGCCCGUUCCCUCCUCUUCUUCCUCAACAUGCUCUGGGCCCUGGACAACGUCGCCGCGUGCUCCAAGAGCGGCCUCGUGAGCGACUCUGCGCACCGCGACCUCCGCUUCCUGACGUCCCUCUGCAGUCGCAGCGCCAAGCUCCCCUCCAUCCUCCGAUACACGCUCCAGCCGCCGCAGUUCAGGGAGUCUCUGGACUGGAUGCUGGUGAGGGAGAAGGCAUCGUUGAUUGUCGAAGCCUGGGCUCUUGACACUCCGGAAUUGAGGCGCAACUUACAAUUGCCUGCCGGCCCAGGUCUCCCGCGGGACGUGCUUCCCAUCGGUCCCAGUCGUCCAAGGCGCCACCGGAGGGAACGAUACCGGCGGGCAAAAGCAUCUACAAUUGCCAAGUCCUAUCUCAACAGGAAGAGGAGCCUGCUGUCUUCAAGUCCACCUCCUGGAUUGCUUGAUGAUGCACUCAACUGGAUGGCUGAUCUUAUUGAGGGAUGUUUAAAAGCUGGUAAAAUUCCGGAGCUCCAUCAAGAGCUGCCACUUCAGUCAAAUGGAAAUGAAGGUUUAUACAUGGAGUAUUUCAUUGAAGUGGCUCGUACACCAUGUUUUGUUCAGCUCAUUCCUAAGCUAAGUUCCAUAUUCUGUUAUUCUUCUGUUGGUUGCUCACAUGUUAUGUACGUUAUCUAUGCACAUGGGCAUGGUAGUUCAUAACAGCACUCCAAUGCAAUUAAGCUGGACGUUGUUCUUUGCACGUUAUCAAUGCCGGGAACCGGCUGUCAUCUCUAACUGCUUAACUGAGUUAACAUAUGAAAUCAUACUUCUUUAGAGAAGUCCAGAUGUUCUAGUGAAGGGCUAUUUACACCAUUGUAAUGUGAUAAAUGAGAUAUAUGCCUUAUUAGUUCUAGGCUAGAAACAUUUACCGUAAGUCCUCUGUUAUGCCACUUCUAACGAACUGCUUGCAGGUGCUUCUGGUUCUCCACUUUUGCAGACCAUGUUUAGUACCGUGACAAAUCCUUCUAAAAACCCUGGGAUCUCAUCAGUGACAAAUGCAGGUGUUCCAAGUUGCACAGGUAGGCCUAAAUGUACUUGGUGCUCAUCAGUUGCAUUUUCAGGUGGUGCAAUCUCACAGCCUUUUAGAACACCUUGGAUCACAUCUGCCUCAAAUGCAGGCCCAAUCAAGCAUUCUGUUGGAAGGAAAAGGAAUUCAGGAGA